UACGGAGGGUGCAAGCGUUAUCCGGAUUCACUGGGUUUAAAGGGAGCGUAGGUGGGCUGGUAAGUCAGUGGUGAAAUCUCCGGGCUUAACUCGGAAACUGCCGUUGAUACUAUCAGUCUUGAAUGUUGUGGAGGUAAGCGGAAUAUGUCAUGUAGCGGUGAAAUGCUUAGAUAAUGACAUAGAACACCGAUAGCGAAGGCAGCUUGCUACACA
rnacentral:rRNA from 1 species